UUUCCGUAGGUGAACCUGCGGAAGGAUCAUUACCGAGUGCGGGUUCUCACGAGCCCAACCUCCCACCCGUGUUUACCGUUACCGCGUUGCCUCGGCGGGCCCACUGGGGCCUGGCCCCGGUCGCCGGGGGGCUUCUGCCCCCGGGCCCGCGCCCGCCGACGCACCCUAGAACCCUGCCUGAAUAGUGAGUCUGAGUGAGAUUUGAAAUCAUUAAAACUUUCAACAACGGAUCUCUUGGUUCCGGCAUCGAUGAAGAACGCAGCGAAAUGCGAUAAGUAAUGUGAAUUGCAGAAUUCCGUGAAUCAUCGAAUCUUUGAACGCACAUUGCGCCCCCUGGCAUUCCGGGGGGCAUGCCUGUCCGAGCGUCAUUUCUGCCCUCCAGCACGGCUGGGUGUUGGGCGCUGUCCCCCCGGGGACACGCCCCAAAAGCAGUGGCGGCGCCGCGUCGGGUCCUCGAGCGUAUGGGGCUUUGUCACCCGCUCGGGAGGGACUCGGUCGGCGCUGGUCUUCCCUUUAGGCCGCCCUUCGGGGUGCGCCUCUUCCGGUUGACCUCGGAUCAGGUAGGGCUACCCGCUGAACUUAAGCAUAUCAUAA
rnacentral:rRNA from 1 species